UUGCCAGACUCCUACGGGAGGCAGCAGUGGGGAAUAUUGCACAAUGGGGGAAACCCUGAUGCAGCAACGCCGCGUGAGUGAAGAAGUAUUUCGGUAUGUAAAGCUCUAUCAGCAGGGAAGAAGAUGACGGUACCUGAAUAAGAAGCCCCGGCUAACUACGUGCCAGCAGCCGCGGUAAUACGUAGGGGGCAAGCGUUAUCCGGAUUUACUGGGUGUAAAGGGAGCGCAGACGGCAGUGCAAGUCUGGAGUGAAAGCCCGGGGCCCAACCCCGGAACUGCUCUGGAAACUGUGCGGCUAGAGUACUGGAGGGGCAGGCGGAAUUCCUAGUGUAGCGGUGAAAUGCGUAGAUAUUAGGAGGAACACCAGUGGCGAAGGCGGCUUACUGGACUGUAACUGACGUUGAGGCUCGAAAGCGUGGGGAGCAAACAGGAUUAGAUACCCGCGUA
rnacentral:rRNA from 1 species